ensembl:lncRNA
GAAUUAUAUAACAGGAACCUCAAGUAAAACCUUCAAAAUGCGCUGCUGACUUGGGAAUUUAUCUCUUAUUUUCAAAGGCUAUUUAAAGCCAGAUUCUGGAAAAUACAGCUAGUGCAGCAGAAAUGCUGUCACAUCCUGAAGCAGUGAUUGAGCACCUGGUGGGAUGUCAGGGCCUACCCAGGGAAGCUCAGGUGCAUGCAAUGCAAUGCAAUGCAAUGCAAUGCAGCUGUGUGACCGGAAGGGAUGGAGCCAGGAUCCACCCCUUCCCAGCUCUCAUUUAAGGGCUGGCAGUGGAGGUGAGAGUAUCUGUCUGGAGAUCUCUGUCUUCCUGAGGCCUUUUGAAGGAAAAUGAUCAUCAGAAUGAGAAUUGUUAACUGAUUAGAUUAUUGUUGGCAUUCAGUACAAGAACACAGCCAAGAGCUCAAGGAGUUUUGCAAGAGGAACUACCUUUGAAGAAAGAAGGGAAAGUAUGUACUGUGCUUGGAAAGUGAGAGGUAUCUGGCUUCAAUAUUCUUUGUCUCCAUAUCUGAAAGCUUUUCACAAGAGAUGAGAAGUAAACCAACUUUCCACUGCACUCCACCAAUACAGCUAUUGCUGCAAGCAGCCCCACUUAUUUACAGUGCCUGUUGGUGGAACCUGGCACUAGAGUUUGCACUCAGAGCACCAACAAGAUCUCCCAUCUCUUCAAAAAGAACCACUUAAAACAGAAAACUAUGGGUUUUUUUUGUUUGUUUGUUUGGUUUUUUUUUAAAGAGCUCCUUGAAACAAGCCAAACUUGCAUCUGCACACUUCUUUUUACUGCUCCAUCCCCAGGGAGCAUUUGUACCUCAUUCUCCUCCCUUAGGACUUGAAAUCAAAAUAUUUCUUUUCUGUCAGGCAGCUCACACUGAGAAUUCUGUAAGCUGUAAGCACGGACGAGUAUAUAUUUAGCUUAUCCAAACUCAGUAAGAGACUAAGUGUAGGAGAUAGCUUAGGUAUGGGGCCACGUUGCACCUAGGAGACACCUGGGCUAUAAGCAGCAUCCACCAAGUACUUCUCUAUUUUGUGCCAUACCACAAAGGACAUACACUGUUCCAGUUUCUAUCCCCCCAGUAUAUAUUGAAAUAAAGUUGUCAAACCUCUUGUCCUCUGGAGGCUCCUGGAACAGCUCAGAGCAGAUUGGUCAACCACCACAGGCCUUCAGCUGCUGCCAGCUUCCAUUUGUUUUUCAGCAGCACCUGUGAGAGAAUACACAACUGAUGUGAGCACUCACUUCUUUAUUACUCUUCUCACCAAGUGAGAAGUGCUUCAGCCCUGCUUAACACCUCCUCAGAGCUCUUCCUGCUGCUAUUUCUUCAUCCUCAGGAUCUACUAUCUAUCUAGGUUAUAGAUAUAAUCUGAAACGCAGCUCAGCUCCCAG